UACGUAGGGGGCGAGCGUUGUCCGGAUUUAUUGGGCGUAAAGAGCGUGUAGGCGGCCAGGUAGGUCUGCUGUGAAAACUCGAGGCUCAACCUCGAGACGUCGGCGGAAACCAUCUGGCUAGAGUCAGGAAGAGGAGAGUGGAAUUCCUGGUGUAGCGGUGAAAUGCGCAGAUAUCAGGAAGAACACCCGUGGCGAAGGCGGCUCUCUGGGACGGUACUGACGCUGAGGGCACGAAAGCGUGGGGAGCAAACAGG
rnacentral:rRNA from 1 species